rnacentral:rRNA from 1 species
UACGUAGGGGGCUAGCGUUGUCCGGAAUCAUUGGGCGUAAAGCGCGUGUAGGCGGUCCGGUAAGUCCGCUGUGAAAGUCGGGGGCUCAACCCUCGAAUGCCGGUGGAUACUGUCGGGCUAGAGUGCGGAAGAGGCGAGUGGAAUUCCUGGUGUAGCGGUGAAAUGCGCAGAUAUCAGGAGGAACACCAAUUGCGAAGGCAGCUCGCUGGGACGUUACUGACGCUGAGACGUGAAAGCGUGGGGAGCAAACAGG